UAGGGAAUCUUCCGCAAUGGGCGAAAGCCUGACGGAGCAACGCCGCGUGAGUGAUGAAGGUCUUCGGAUCGUAAACCUCUGUUAUUAGGGAAGAACAAAUGUGUAAGUAACUAUGCACGUCUUGACGGUACCUAAUCAGAAAGCCACGGCUAACUACGUGCCAGCAGCCGCGGUAAUACGUAGGUGGCAAGCGUUAUCCGGAAUUAUUGGGCGUAAAGCGCGCGUAGGCGGUUUUUUAAGUCUGAUGUGAAAGCCCACGGCUCAACCGUGGAGGGUCAUUGGAAACUGGAAAACUUGAGUGCAGAAGAGGAAAGUGGAAUUCCAUGUGUAGCGGUGAAAUGCGCAGAGAUAUGGAGGAACACCAGUGGCGAAGGCGACUUUCUGGUCUGUAACUGACGCUGAUGUGCGAAAGCGUGGGGAUCAAACAGG
rnacentral:rRNA from 1 species